UACGUAGGGUGCAAGCGUUGUCCGGAAUUAUUGGGCGUAAAGAGCUCGUAGGCGGUUUGUCGCGUCGAAUGUGAAAUCCCGGGGCUCAACCCCGGGCCUGCAUUCGAUACGGGCAGACUAGAGUUCGGUAGGGGAGUCUGGAAUUCUCGGUGUAGCGGUGAAAUGCGUAGAUAUCGGGAGGAAUACCAGUGGCGAAGGCGGCCUUCUGGACGGAUACUGACGCUGAGGCGCGAAAGCCAGGGGAGCAAACGGG
rnacentral:rRNA from 1 species